UAUGGUUGCCAGCCGCCGCGGUAAUACGGAGGAUCCGAGCGUUAUCCGGAUUUAUUGGGUUUAAAGGGAGCGUAGGCGGACGCUUAAGUCAGUUGUGAAAGUUUGCGGCUCAACCGUAAAAUUGCAGUUGAUACUGGGUGUCUUGAGUACAGUAGAGGCAGGCGGAAUUCGUGGUGUAGCGGUGAAAUGCUUAGAUAUCACGAAGAACUCCGAUUGCGAAGGCAGCUUGCUGGACUGUAACUGACGCUGAUGCUCGAAAGUGUGGGUAUCAAACAGG
rnacentral:rRNA from 1 species